rnacentral:rRNA from 1 species
GAUGAACGCUGGCGGCGUGCCUAAUACAUGCAAGUCGAGCGAACAGACGAGGAGCUUGCUCCUCUGACGUUAGCGGCGGACGGGUGAGUAACACGUGGAUAACCUACCUAUAAGACUGGGAUAACUUCGGGAAACCGGAGCUAAUACCGGAUAAUAUAUUGAACCGCAUGGUUCAAUAGUGAAAGACGGUUUUGCUGUCACUUAUAGAUGGAUCCGCGCCGCAUUAGCUAGUUGGUAAGGUAACGGCUUACCAAGGCGACGAUGCGUAGCCGACCUGAGAGGGUGAUAGGCCACACUGGAACUGAGACACGGUCCAGACUCCUACGGGAGGCAGCAGUAGGGAAUCUUCCGCAAUGGGCGAAAGCCUGACGGAGCAACGCCGCGUGAGAGGUGAAGAUCUUCGGAUCGUAAAACUCUGUUAUUAGGGAAGAACAAAUGUGUAAGUAACUAUGCACGUCUUGACGGUACCUAGUCAGAAAGCCACGGCUAACUACGUG